rnacentral:pre_miRNA from 1 species
ACCAAAAGUUGGAAGCUGCCAGCAUGAUCCUUUAACUUUUCUAGAGGGAAAGAUCAGAUCAUCUGGCUGCUUUCAUCCUGUU